UGGCUGCUCCCGCUCGCCUCUUGGGGUGCGCUCAGCUCCAGCCCAACUUCGCCAGCUCCGCCGGCUCCAGCACCGCUCCAGCCCGAUUCCAGCCCGGUUCCAGCCCAGCUCCAGCCCGGCUCCGGUUCUUCUCCGCCACGCCUCUCUGUCGACGCUGAGGAUCAGCUUCGCAGGAAAAUCCCAGAAACCUUUGCAAAAAGCUUACAAUGAAAUUUAAGAAGUUCUACGAUUUCGGCGCCAUUUUCGAGUGGAGUGAGAGUAUUGGAAAAGUUUUGCUCGAAGGUGCGGAGGACGUGUGCAUCGUGUUUUGGGUGUGGGGGCGCAUGGCAUCUGCAACCUUAAAAGACAAAACGUUCUCAACUGGGAAGAGAGGAAGAGGCGUAGUCUUUGGCUCUUAAAUCAUUUGGCCAAACCCUUCGCGGUUCUGAAGUGGGUGGGGCCAUUUUGACCCGUCCUGGUUCUGAAGUGGGUGGGGCCAUGGUAACCCUAAAGUAUUGAUUCUUUGUCUAUUGUAUCAGCGAAUGACCCUCUCCAGAAGUGACCAGACAUCUCUUUGUGCUCUUUUUUCGUAAGUAAAGUUGAGCCCAAGGGGAAAUACACAAACCCAGGGAGUGAGAUGGCUUUUUAGGGAUAUAAGUCGUUGUAGAGUGACAG
ensembl:processed_transcript RIKEN cDNA C430049B03 gene